rnacentral:rRNA from 1 species
GGGCCCGCACAAGCGGUGGAGUAUGUGGUUUAAUUCGAUGCAACGCGAAGAACCUUACCAGGGUUUGACAUCCUGCGAAUCUCUUGGAAACAGGAGAGUGCCUUCGGGAACGCAGUGACAGGUGGUGCAUGGCUGUCGUCAGCUCGUGUCGUGAGAUGUUGGGUUAAGUCCCGCAACGAGCGCAACCCACGUCUUUAGUUGCCAAUUAUGGAACUCUAAGGAGACUCCCGGUGUUAAACCGGCGGAAGAUGGGGAUGACGUCAAGUCCUCAUGGCCCUUAUCGGCUGGGGCUACACACGUACUACAAUGGCAACUACAAAGAGCAGCGAAGUCGCGAGGCCAAGCAAAUCUCAAAAAAGUUGCCUCAGUUCGGAUUGGAGUCUGCAACUCGACUCCAUGAAGUUGGAAUCGCUAGUAAUCGCGGAUC